UACGUAGGGCGCAAGCGUUAUCCGGAAUUACUGGGCGUAAAGAGCGCGCAGGCGGUCGGUCAAGUCGAGUGUGAAAGCCCCGGCUCAACUGGGGAGGGUCAUUCGAUACUGAUCGACUCGAAGGCAGGAGAGGGUAGUGGAAUUCCCGGUGUAGUGGUGAAAUGCGUAGAUAUCGGGAGGAACACCAGUGGCGAAGGCGACUACCUGGCCUGUUCUUGACGCUGAGGCGCGAAAGCUAGGGGAGCAAACGGG
rnacentral:rRNA from 1 species